rnacentral:rRNA from 1 species
UACAGAGGCUGCAAGCGUUAUUCGGAUUCACUGGGCGUAAAGGGUGCGCAGGCGGCCGUGUGUGUCAGGUGUGAAAGCCCGGAGCUUAACUCCGGAAUUGCGCCUGAAACUACAUGGCUAGAGCAUUGGAGAGGGUAGCGGAAUUCACGGUGUAGCAGUGAAAUGCGUAGAUAUCGUGAGGAACACCAGAGGCGAAGGCGGCUAGCUGGACAAUUGCUGACGCUCAGGCACGAAAGCGUGGGGAGCAAAAGGG